UCAUUCAAUCAUUGGAUUGGUGACCCGUGCCCGGUAACAUCUGUGAACUGGGCAUGAGAAAGUGAUGGCCAUAUUUGAAAAUGAGUUGUCCUUCACGGCUGAACUCACUUUCCAGGUUAUCUUCAACCAAUGGUCUUUGAAGAGCAAGGAC